GAUGAAGAACGUAGCGAAAUGCGAUAAGUAAUGUGAAUUGCAGAAUUCAGUGAAUCAUCGAAUCUUUGAACGCACAUUGCGCCCGCCAGUAUUCUGGCGGGCAUGCCUGUUCGAGCGUCAUUACAACCCUCAGGCCCCCGGGCCUGGCGUUGGGGAUCGGCGGAAGCCCCCUGCGGGCACAACGCCGUCCCCCAAAUACAGUGGCGGUCCCGCCGCAGCUUCCAUUGCGUAGUAGCUAACACCUCGCAACUGGAGNNNGGCGCGGCCACGCCGUAAAACACCCAACUUCUGAAUGUUGACCUCGAAUCAGGUAGGAAUACCCGCUGAACUUAAGCAUAUCAAUAAGCGGAGGA
rnacentral:misc_RNA from 1 species